GGGGGAAUAUUGGACAAUGGGCGAAAGCCUGAUCCAGCAAUGCCGCGUGUGUGAAGAAGGCCUUCGGGUUGUAAAGCACUUUUAUCAGGAGCGAAAUACGACGGGCUAAUAUCCCGUUGGGCUGACGGUACCUGAGGAAUAAGCACCGGCUAACUUCGUGCCAGCAGCCGCGGUAAUACGAAGGGUGCAAGCGUUAAUCGGAAUUACUGGGCGUAAAGCGUGCGUAGGCGGUCUUUUAAGUCUGCUGUGAAAUCCCCGGGCUCAACCUGGGAAUGGCAGUGGAUACUGGGAGGCUAGAGUGUGAGAGAGGAUGGUGGAAUUCCCGGUGUAGCGGUGAAAUGCGUAGAGAUCGGGAGGAACAUCAGUGGCGAAGGCGGCCAUCUGGCUCAACACUGACGCUGAGGCACGAAAGCGUGGGGAGCAAACAGGAUUAGAUACCCUGGUAGUCCACGCCCUAAACGAUGCGAACUGGAUGUUGGUCUCAACUCGGAGAUCAGUGUCGAAGCUAACGCGUUAAGUUCGCCGCCUGGGGAGUACGGUCGCAAGACUG
rnacentral:rRNA from 1 species